CCUACGGGAGGCAGCAGUGGGGAAUAUUGGGCAAUGGGCGCAAGCCUGACCCAGCAACGCCGCGUGAAGGAAGAAGGCUUUCGGGUUUUAAACUUCUUUUCUCAGGGACGAAGCAAGUGACGGUACCUGAGGAAUAAGCCACGGCUAACUACGUGCCAGCAGCCGCGUUAAUACGUAGGUGGCAGGCGUUAUCCGGAUUUACUGGGUGUAAAGGGCGUGUAGGCGGGAAAGCAAGUCAGAUGUGAAAACCAUGGGCUCAACCUGUGGCCUGCAUUUGAAACUGUUGUUCUUGAUUGCUGGAGAGGAAGACGGAAUUCCUAGUGUAGCGGUGAAAUGCGUAGAUAUUAGGAGGAACACCAGUGGCGAAGGCGGGCUGCUGGACUGCAACUGACGCUGAGGCGCGAAAGCGUGGGGAGCAAACAGGAUUAGAUACCCGUGUAGUC
rnacentral:rRNA from 1 species